UUAUGGUGGGGUAAAUACAAACAAAAGGGAAAACAAGUGGUUUGGAUUCAGAGCUAAUGUCAUUAUAUUUUCACUGUGUUUGUUAUAUAUCUCAUUUCCACUUCUUUUAUUUUUCAGUUCUUUUUUUUUCUCUGUUCAACUGAGUGUUUCUCAUUCGGUGGAUGCUUUUCUCGUUCCAUCAAAUAUUUUUUUUCUUUUUUUUUUUUCGAUGGUCGUUUUUCUUAAUAUUUUUUUGCACUCACCUUACUUUCAGAUACUUAUGGGGUGACCCCAGACUUAGAAUUUAACACAGCUUAAAGAACAUAAAAUUUUCUCUGAACAGGGUAAGGAAAUGUUUGGGCCGCGGGUUACAUUCACCUGGUUAUAUAUACAAACAAAG
rnacentral:lncRNA from 1 species